rnacentral:rRNA from 1 species
AUGGCCAUCCAGCCUAAACUGCCGUUCACACAACUCUUCCUCUUGAUUCUUUAUUUCCUUGCUGUAGUAGCGGUUCGGCCGGAAUCAUCCCAUGAAAUCAAUCUACAGCCAGCAGACUUUCCCAACGAGCGCCUCUACCGAGCCUACCUUGCCAUCCAGCGUUUCAAGAGCACCAUAACUAGUGACCCCAAUAACAUCACCUCCACCUGGUCCGGCAAUGACAUCUGUGGCGACAAGACAUAUGUCGGCUUCUACUGCGCAACGCCGCCAGGGUUAAAUGAGAAGCUAACAGUUACCGAGGUUAUUCUCAAUGGCUUUGGCCUGCAUGCGCCGAGGUUACAACGCUUCGUCGAUCAGCUUCCUGAUCUGGCGCUUUUCCAUGCGUCCUCCAACAACUUCGGUGGCGAUAUUCCUCACCUCGACAGCCUGCCAUACCUGUUCGAGUUCGGCGUCGCUAAGUACGACCUCCAACCUCUUCAUCCUUCCGGCCGUGUCUACGGGAGUGCAGAGGGAGGCGCUACGGGACAGGUUAUUACGAAAGAUGAAGGGAAGAAGAAGAAGAAAAAAAAGGGUAAACUUCAGCAGAUUCAGUGCGCAUAUACUUUUCUUAAUUUUACGUUUCACAUCCGAGUUGGCUCCCCGGGAGGAGGAGGCAACAUUCCGGGCGUUACCGAUGCUAAAGCACUUAUCCUGAACUACAACAACAUGUCCGGGAAACUUCCGACCAACAUUGGCUUCUCCAAGUUGAGCUACCUCUCCCUCGCCAACAACAAGCUCACCGGGCCAAUCCCGCCAUCAAUCGCGCGCUUGCAAGACUCCCUCCUCGAGAUGCUCCUCCUCAACAACCAGCUCUCUGGCUGCCUCCCACACGAGCUCGGCAUGCUCACCAAGAGCACCGUCAUCGACGCCGCGAUGAAUCAGCUCACCGGCCCGAUCCCUUCAUCCUUCUCGUGCCUCAGCAGCGUCGAGCAGCUCAACCUGGGCGGGAACCGCCUGUACGGGCAGGUCCCCGACGCGCUCUGCAAGCUCGCCGGACCAGCCGGCCGCCUCUCCAACCUCACGCUGGCGGGCAACUACUUCACGUCGGUCGGGACGGCGUGCUCUGCGCUCAUCAAGGACGGCCUGCUGGACGUGAAGCACAACUGCAUUCCCGGCUUCGCCAACCAGAGGGGCCCGGCGGAGUGCGCCUCGUUCCUGAGCCAGCCCAAGACGUGCCCGGCGGCGAGCGCUCGCGUGGCGUGCCCCGCCGCGGACGCCAAGAUGAACGUGGCGGCGCCGGAGGGGAAGGUGGCUAAGGACUACUCCAGCUACGUUGUGUACGCCACUCUGCAUGAGUGA